CAAAGUUGGUAAGGAUGCAAAUUUUCACUCAAGACAAACCUUGGGCAAAUAUAUGUGACUUUUCUAUACCAUUCUAUGGUCCCCUGAGUAUUAAUGAGAUGAAACAUUAACAUAAGAAAAAUAAAAGUACCGUCAUAAGGUUCCAGCAAAAUGAAGUAAAGGAUGGAGCAAUGCCUAAUACAUCAGAUUGUUGAGAAAUUCAAGAUGGAUCAAGACGGAAAACAACACGUACAGUUUCUUACUUUGGGGAAAACUAACGUGGUCUAAGACAUCUUGUCUAGCUGGACUUGAGUAUAGACUCAGGAAUACGGCUUUGUGCUCGAGCCCCUAUUCUCAGUUGACAAUAAAAUAUUGAACAUAAGAAUAUUUUCAGUAAUGGUAUGGAGGCAACGUAUUCACCGAGAGCCGCUGUCUGCACAAAAUAUGGUUCAUUACGAAGCCGGAAAAACAAAGUAAUUCUAUGAAUGAAGCGAAUAAAAAUCGGA